AUGGUCACUAGAAAUAUUUAUAUAUACCAGUUAGUAUACACGCAUAUAUUUAUUUGCUCUGCUAGCUCAGAGGUCCUAAAAGAAACAAUACCCCAGUAGCACAAACACAGCUAACGCCCAGGUUUUGGUUACUAAUACCAUUCUACAAUAAAAGAAACCAGGGCACAAGCACAUGCUCAUUCCCUUGCUGUGUGUGCCAGUGUGCAUGUGUCUCAGAAUACUAACCCUUGCAAUUCAGUUAUCAGGCUGUGAGGAAGCCCAAGCUAUCCAAGUGAAGAGACCACAUAGAGACAAACAGAGGCCUCUAGCUGACAGCCAGCAUCGACUGCCAGACAGGUGAGUAAAUAAACCUUCAAGUGAUUCCAGCCUACGUGCUUCCAGUACAUUAACUGAGGCCCACAGAUCAAGAGAAAAGACAUCCCUGCUGUGCCCUUUCUGAAUUCCUGACAGAAUCUGAGCACAUAAUAAAUGGUUGUUUUACAUCAAGGAAUAGCAACUGGAACAACUCUUAAUGCUAUCAAAGAAUACAUCUGCAGAUCAUACUAGGCUAAAACUUAAAAGUUUUUUCCACAUAAAAUGAAAAUAUAUAGCUAUGUUGGAAAAUCACCAUAAUUAUCUCCGUACUACAUAUUCAUUACCAAAUUUCCACCAGGUGGUAGAUACACUGUACCUCUACUUAUACUCUUAUCCUUCUAAGCCUUUUCUUUUUAGGAACCAGAAAAAGUUAUUAAAAUAACAGGUAAAGAAAAAGUAUUUAACCAGUUGAAAUAAUUAACAUUUAGAAAAUUAACAUCAGUUAAAAUGUUAUUCCAAUUGUCGUUUUUGUUUUGUUUUUUUUUUUUUGUUUUUUUUUUUUGAGACAGAGUCUUACUCUGUCGCCCAGGCUAGCAUGAUCUCAGCUCACUGCAACCUCCGCCUCCCAGGCUCAAGUAAUUCUCCUGGCUCAGCCUCCCAAGUAGCUGGGAUUAUAGGCAUGAGCCACCACACCUGGCUAAUUUUUGCAUUUUUAGUAGAGACAGGGUUUUGCCAUGUUGGCCAGUCUGGUCUCAAACUCCUGGCCUCAAGUGAUCUGCCCACCUCAGCCUCCCAAAGUGCUAGGAUUACAGGCGUGAGCCACCACACUCAGCUAUCCCAAUUGUUUUAAUAUUGUAUAUGAGGACGAAUAAACAACAACAAAAAACUAAACACUUUAAAAACAAAGAUCAUGAAAAAGUUCUGGAAAUGAAUGGUGGUAUCAGUUGCAUAAC
rnacentral:lncRNA from 1 species